rnacentral:rRNA from 1 species
UACGAAGGGGGCUAGCGUUGCUCGGAAUCACUGGGCGUAAAGCGCGCGUAGGCGGCUUUCUAAGUCAGGGGUGAAAUCCUGGAGCUCAACUCCAGAACUGCCUUUGAUACUGGGAAUCUCGAGUCCGGGAGAGGUGAGUGGAACUGCGAGUGUAGAGGUGAAAUUCGUAGAUAUUCGCAAGAACACCAGUGGCGAAGGCGGCUCACUGGCCCGGUACUGACGCUGAGGUGCGAAAGCGUGGGGAGCAAACAGG